AGCAGCCGCGGUAAUUCCAGCUCCAAUAGCGUAUAUUAAAGUUGUUGCAGUUAAAAAGCUCGUAGUUGAAUUUCGAGAUCAAAUUGUUGGUCGUGCCUCGGUACGUACUGGCAUUAUUGAUUUCUCCCUUCUGACGAUCCGCGAUGUCAUUAAUUUGGUGUCGCGGGGAAUCAGGACUGUUACUUUGAAAAAAUUAGAGUGUUUAAAGCAGGCUCACGCUUGAAUACAUUAGCAUGGAAUAAUGAAAUAGGACGUUUGAUUCUAUUUUGUUGGUUUCUAGGAUCGACGUAAUGAUUAAUAGGGAUAGUUGGGGGCAUUAGUAUUCAAUUGUCAGAGGUGAAAUUCUUGGAUUUAUUGAAGACUAACUACUGCGAAAGCAUUUGCCAAGGAUGUUUUCAUUAAUCAAGAACGAAAGUAGGGGAUCGAAGACGAUCAGAUACCGUCGUAGUCUUAACCAUAAACUAUGCCGACUAGGGAUCGGAUGAUGUUAAUUUUUUAAUGACUCAUUCGGCGUCCG
rnacentral:sRNA from 1 species